rnacentral:rRNA from 1 species
GACGAACGCUGGCGGCGUGCUUAACACAUGCAAGUCGAGCGGUAAGGCCCUUUCGGGGGUACACGAGCGGCGAACGGGUGAGUAACACGUGGGUGACCUGCCCUCAGCUCUGGGAUAAGCCUGGGAAACCGGGUCUAAUACUGGAUAUGACUCCAUGACGCAUGUUGCGGGGUGGAAAGCCUUGUGCGGCUGAGGAUGGGCCCGCGGCCUAUCAGCUUGUU